rnacentral:ncRNA from 2 species
AGAGUUAAACAGUACGUGAAAUUGUUGAAAGGGAAACGAUUGAAGCCAGUCGUACCUUCGGGUAAUCAGCCUUUCGGGUGCGAUUAUGUGGAGUGUGAGGAGCUUAAACACCUUCAUGUUUUGCAUAUUCGUACUCUUGGGUGUACUUGCCCGUGUGGUUGGUUAACAUCAAUUUUGGUGGUCAUAAAAUGACUGGGGGAAUGUAGCUUCGAUCUUGUAUUGAAGUGUUAUAGCCUUCGGUAGAUGUGAUGAUCGAGAUUGAGGAUUGCAACGGAUACCCUUUGGGGCUACCUGUCUGAUCUCUGAUCGUUGCUUUGGUGCCGAAAGCUUGCUUACGGUUAUCAAAGUCGAUGGUCAAUAGGUUAGAACGGGUUAAAUUCGUUAAGGAUGUUGACGUAAUGGCUUUAAACGACC